CCGCGGGUCGUCCCGCUUGGGCCUCCUGGCCGCGAUUGGACAGCCGUGUCACGUGGUACGUCCCUGCGGUCCGAUUCGUCCGCCUCUGCGGUCUGCUGCCCCCUCCCGGCUCUUGCAAGUCUAGCGCCGCGCGCGGGGUUGGAGCCGCCGCCGCUCCCGGGAGGUUCCCCCUCCUCCUCCUCCGGGGGCAGCGUCGCGCCGCCCGCUCUCACCGGCCUGUUGGAGCAGCCGCAACCGCAACCGCCCGCGAGAUGAGACGGGGCUCGGGCGGCCUGCGCGGCCCGGCGAGGACAGGUCGAGCCGCUCGCUUGCCAACCAGCCGCGGAGCCGGCUCCAGCAUCCCGGGGCCGUCGCACCCGUCUCAGUCACACGUUUUGUGGCAUUUUUUGGUUUUUUUGUUUUGAGCUUCCUCUGCGCCCCCCCCCCGUGCGGACAGGGCGGCUGCCGUGGCUCUCCCCGCUCCUCCGCCUGCGCGACAGGCACCCGGGCUGCGCGGUUGCCAUUAGUGCGAAGGGCCUCUGUGCCUGACGGCAUUAGUCACAAUGGUGAGCGAGCUUAUACAGCCCAGGUUAGGCCGGCGUGCAAAAAAAGACACUUUGAAAACAAGCAGCGAUAACUAUAUGCAAAGAUCUUGUGAGAAAGUUUGGGGUGCACACAAGGAGGGUUUAAAACCUGUUACCUGGAGAGGGCAGGGAGUGAAGGAAGACUUGUUCAGCCACCACGAGAAGUUUGAGUAAUUGCGAGCUAGCAGCGAUGCGGACUUAGGGAAGCACUUCUGAGGUGGUUUGGACACAUCCGUUCACCUUUUCGUCCAGGACAUAAACCACUGUUACCAGAAAUGGCACAGAUACUAGCUAAGGAACUGGGACUGUUGGGUUAGUAACAUUUCAGUGACUUUCUCAAGUGCUUCAAAAAAUAUAAUACUGAGUUAAAACUUGCUGGAGAAGCUACCGGUGUUGCAGACAGUGUAGUAGAUGAGCAUGUUGAAAGACUACUUGUGAUCACAGAUGGCUACCUCCUCUGAUGGUAGACGCAGUAGGGGCGAAACCAGAUUGUUCUUCAAGCCCCUUUCUGAAAAGAUGUUCUGUUCCAUAAUCGAAAAGCGCUUCGGUGAUCAAUCAGUGAGUCUAAGAUUGCUUGUUGGUUGCUCUCUGCCAAUGUGACUGGCAGUGAAAAUGGGCACUGCUCAUCACAGGAAGAUUUCAAAAUCUCUAUUAUCUCAUGGACAUGAAAAGGCUUCUUGUGCCUUACUCAGCUACUACACCUGGAUGACGGGUGAAAUGUCCAGAGAGCAGGUUAUAACAUUCAAUAACAGAAUGAAAGAAGAGGAAAGUCCUUUAGCUUGUAGAUAGUUGUUCAGAUCACAUGGAAAUAAAAAGCCUAGCUGAAACUAAGCUGGUUUUUCUUCUGAUGAACACAGUCAUGUGACCAGAGUUUUAUCUGAAUUCAAAUAAUUUUGGAAGACAAUUGUGUGUUGCAUCCUGCUUGCUAUCAAACAGAUGUCCAGAGGUAUUGAUAUGAAAAUCUUCAUUCAAUUUAUGCACGUAGGCUAUAAUGCUUCACUCCUGCCACCAUUGCUAAUUGGUUCCUCGCAAGCUGAAAUGUGCCUCAACACAUCAGAUAUCAAGUGAUCCAGACAGAAAGGGUGGCUGUAGUGCUUUCACCUGAGAGAUUAUGGCCUUCAUAAUGUAUUCCCCCAGUGCAGAGAGCUGCUUCCUGGGGCCCAGAAUGGCACGUGUUGACAUCACUCCUGCAACAGGGGACUCUCUAUCAAACCAGUGCUGGUGACUCCAAUGUGACUGGUUCCAGUUUUGAUCUCUCUGUAUUCUGCUCUUUGCUGUUGGGUGAUACCGUGUUCUUUCAGCCCAGCCCUUCAGACUUAUUAUUUGCAGGUUGGCAAUAGAAGAUGAGUGGCUUCUAUCACAUAUUUCCUGAGUGCUUCUUAGUUGAGCAACUCUGGUUAUGUCCCCAUACAUGAGGAGCAGGCAUAUGUGUACAGACAGAAACAGCUCAAUUUUAAAGGAAGACAAACAAUAGACAAAGAUAAAGUCUCUGGGAAGGGGGCGGGGGGCAGAAUGUGCAGUAUUACUUUUUGAGGGACAGCAAUCCACAGUGACUGGAACACUUGCUUGGCAGGUUUUAGUUUCAGCCCCACCCUAAUUUGCCUCCUGAUUGGCAAGGAAGUCCCUUUCGUCUCAUCACCAUAUGAACCAAACCCAUUGGUUAUGAGAGCAGGUUAGCCUGCAUUCAGCUUUUUUUUUUGCAUGCAAGAUUUUUACUGGAAACAAGUCUCAAGACUAGAAGGAACCUCUUGUGUCACUGAGUCCAGUAUAAUACCAUCUGUGUACCCUCCACUGUGCAGCAAAAGGACAGCUCUAAAAUAUGGCUCUGUCUGUUCUGGUCCCGUCCAUGCCCUUGACGUCACCUCCAGCCUCAGAAUGAAUGUCCUGGGCUGCAUGAAGUACAUCAUGUUCGUGUUCAGUGCGCUGAUGCUUAUAGCACAGAUGGGCCUGUACUGUGCUGCUGCCAGAUGCGCUGCUGCCAGACAGGGAGGAUGAGGCCACACAUCAGAACAGCUGUUACCCUAUUACUGCCAUGCCCGCUGUACCUGCCAUAUGCCAUGAUCCCACAGAGACAGACAUGGACUCUUCCUCAGCUGGUAUGAAAGAGGGACAAAGAGGAACAGCCAGGGAAGUGAGAGUGACACAUCACACCACGACAGCUGUCCUUCAAGAUCUCUACAUCCAUGAGGAGCUCCAGGAGGACUUGGCAGAGGAGUUGUAAUGGCAUGAGGCCUAGGCUAGGGUAACAUGAAAGAGCUGCCAGAGUGAGGUGGGCCUGAAUGGGGUGCGGCAAAGGAAAGGAAGAUGCCCACUUCCAAAGAGGCAGGAAGAGGGGGCUGCAGGCUUUCUAGCAGCUUGACAUGGCAUGACUCCUUGAGCGGUCUGACUUGGCUGACCCCUUCUAAUGGAAUGACUCAGUAUGACCACCUGUGUGACCUGACAUAGCAUGUCUCUACUACUGGCCUAAUUUAGUGUGACUUAACACAGCAUGAGCAUGUACGUGGCCCAACCUGGCAUGACCUCCUGGGUGCUCUAACUCAGCAUGUCAGACCAACUGGGAUGUCUCAGCAUGACCCCCCCUUGUGGUGUGACAAAAUAAUCACACAUGUGGCCUGACUUGGCAUAGCCCCCCCAUUAGUAUGACUCAGCAUGACCCCCACUAAUGGCAUGACACAGAAUGAUCAUAUGUGUGACCUGACUUGUCAUGGCCCACUUGGUGGUUUCACUUGCCAUGACCUUCCAGGUGCCCUGACACAGCAUAACCUUCCAGGGGUGUGGCUUGACAUGAGCCCACUAGUUCACUGACUUGGCAUGAGCUGCUGAGUGACUAACUUAGCAUGAGCUCCCUAGUUCUCCCAUUUCACGUGACCUCCUGGGUGGCCCCACUUGGCAUGACCUACCUAGUAGCGUGACUUAGCAGAACUGCACAGGUAUCCUACCUCAGCAGGACCUCCCCAGGGGGCAACUCUACAUGACCUCCCCCAAUAUGAUCCGACUUGGCAUAAAAUCCCAGGUGGUGUAACUCUACAAUAUGAACCCCCUAGUUUUGUGAUUCUGCAUGACACCCUGAUGACACCUUGACUUAGCAUAAGCCCCCUAGGGGCCUGACUUGGCAGGACCCCCUUAUAGCGAGAUUUGGCAUGACCUCCUGAGUGGCCUAGUUUGGAACAAGGCCCAUAAUGACCUAUCUUGGAAUGAGCUCCUGGGUGUCAGGGGUAUGACACAGACAUGGGGGGUCAGAGUUCAGAAGCAGAGGGUCAACCAUGCCAGAAGCUGAAGCCAAGGAUCAUGAUGCAGGUGUCAGUCUGAGUCCAAGGUGUCAUACCAGGGGUUCAGGCCAGGCCAGAAGUCAGGAGCCAAAGGGUUCAAAACACACCAUAAGGGGAGUAGGAACAAGGUAUAGGGGUCAAAGGCUAGACUGGAGCAAGACAGGAAAAUGAGGUAGGAGGGAGAUAGAAGCAAGGCAAAAGAGUCCCAAAUAUCAGGACAACAAACACUGUUGCUAGGACAAGGCCCCAGGGCAAGUGGGAGAGUUUUUUAGCCCUCCCAUCAGGGGGCUAUGGCUUCAAUAGCUUUUCUUGGGUCACAUGGCUAUCCAUUAGGGACCUCAUGGGAGGGCCCAGGCUGGGCUUGGUACAGCACCCAGUCAGCUGCUUGGUGGUGCUGCAGCCCAGGCCUUUGUCCAUGAGCCUAGAAGACCUGGAUUGGAGUCCUACAGGUCCUAACACUGCCCCCUUUUUCAUGGCAACCCCUGGGCACGUUAGUGUCUGGUUUGUCUGGAUGAGCAUGGUGGGAGGACUUUAUCUGGUAUAUGGACAUUUUAUGCAGGUUCUCUUCUGGGCUACAUCUUUCCCAGGCUGAAGUAGAGAAGUCUACUUCUUGACUUUUUGGAAUCUAAGAUCUCACAUACAAGAUACUUCUCAUGUAUUUGUAUGGGGGUGGAGGUGGAUGGCGACAUCCUGGGAAGGGAUUUUCUACAUAAGGUUUUAACAGAAAUACAUGAAACACUGGGAGAGCAAGUUCAAAUGCUAUGGGGCUAAUUUGGCAUGUUAUGGUGUAAGGUCCAAGAUGUUGGUGGUCCAGCUUCUGUUCAGGGUGGUCAGUGUGUCAGUUCCUUGUUAAUGGCCAGGCCUUUUGACCUACUACAACUGGGGGAAUCUUCCUGGUAUUGCCUAUUUACCUGUUUUAUGUAGCUGUCUUAGGUCAGCCAUAAUUUGGUGAAUAGUCUUUACCAGCUCUGAUACAGAGGAAAUUGGCAAGGGAGUGGUGGGGAUUCCAGGAUAGACCUGGAUAGGUCUGACAGACCCAGAGUCAUACAUUCUUAUUAUAGUAAUUUGUUGGGGUCUGCUGUGCAGUCCAGAGGUUCUCUUCAGUGAAUGCCCCACUGGGUCCAGCUAUUCUUAUAGACUGAGGCUGUAUUGGCUGACAUUUUGAGACCUCAUGCCCUGUUCCUGCUAGAUCUUAUGAAGAAGAUCCAAUAUACCUUAGGGCUGCUUCCUAUAUAAAAGUUCAAAAGGAGAGAACCCUGUGGAGGAUUGGAGAAUCUCCCAGAGAGCAAAUAGCAAGUACAACAGGAGUACAUCCCAUUUCCAGGGUUCUCUUGCCACAAACUUUCUCAACACCCCCUUAAACAUAUGGUUAAAUCCCUCUACCAGACCAUCCGUGUAGGGGUGGCAGAUGGAAGUUCUGGCCAGGUAGAGAUUUAACAGGGCUCAUAUAUUUUCCAACAGCCUUGAUAUAAAGACCAUACUCUGGUCUGUUAGUAUUUUCCCAGGAGAUCCAUCAACGAGAAUAUUUUUACCAAUUCUAUAACCACUGUAUAGAUCAAGGCAUUACAGAUCACUGCUGCCUCUAUGUACCAGACAGUACAGCUCAUAAGCAUAAAGAUAAAACAACACCCAAUUGUGCUCAGUUCCAAAGACCUGACUAUAUCUACCUUGACUCAUUCAAAGUGGGUACUUACCAAAGGCAGAGGUGAGUAGUGCCAGAUGUCUUGGGUGUGGAGCCACCCGUGUCACUUGGGGCAGAACAUGCAGUCGUCUUUAAUGUCCUGGUAAAACCUAGGCCAAAGGAAUCAGGCAAGUACCCAUUCCUGUAUUUUCUUGACCCCACCAGAUGGCUCACUCAAAUUAUGUCAUGGGCCAAUUUCAAAACCUGUUUGCAGUAUCAAUAACUGGUAUUUCCAGGCUCCAAUUGUCCUGUCCUGAGAGACCUUCAUCCAGACAUCUCUGUAACAGGGUGUAUGGCUCAUGGGCUCAUGCCCAGCUGCAGGGGAUUAGGAAGUGAUAGCCUGCCUGCCUAGGAGUCCUAGGCCAGCUGACAGGGAUGAAUGGCUGGCCCCAGGGGAAGUUAAAAGCUCCCAGGGAGCAUAGCUAGGAGAGAGGAAGAGAGAGAGAGAGAGGAGGCUGGUAUGCUGAGGGGGAAAGCACUGAGCCUGGGUGGCUUUUCUCUCUCUAGGUCUUAGAAAAGAUCUGAGGUUUUACUUUGUUUGUUAUUUGUAUAUUUAUGUAAGUUAUUGCUUCCCUUAUUUGUCUUGGGGGACAAACUUUUUGCAUGUAAAAAUAAAUAGACUGGAAAAUGGGA